rnacentral:rRNA from 1 species
AACUAAGUAAGUCGAACGGUGAAGCAGAGCUUGCUCUGUGGAUCAGUGGCGAACGGGUGAGUAACACGUGAGCAACCUGCCCCUGACUCUGGGAUAAGCGCUGGAAACGGCGUCUAAUACUGGAUACGAGCAACGGCCGCAUGGCCAGUUGUUGGAAAGAUUUUUUGGUUGGGGAUGGGCUCGCGGCCUAUCAGCUUGUUGGUGAGGUAAUGGCUCACCAAGGCGUCGACGGGUAGCCGGCCUGAGAGGGUGACCGGCCACACUGGGACUGAGACACGGCCCAGACUCCUACGGGAGGCAGCAGUGGGGAAUAUUGCACAAUGGGCGGAAGCCUGAUGCAGCAACGCCGCGUGAGGGAUGACGGCCUUCGGGUUGUAAACCUCUUUUAGCAGGGAAGAAGCGAAAGUGACGGUACCUGCAGAAAAAGCGCCGGCUAACUACGUGCCAGCAGCCGCGGUAAUACGUAGGGCGCAAGCGUUAUCCGGAAUUAUUGGGCGUAAAGAGCUCGUAGGCGGUUUGUCGCGUCUGCUGUGAAAUCCCGAGGCUCAACCUCGGGCCUGCAGUGGGUACGGGCAGACUAGAGUGCGGUAGGGGAGAUUGGAAUUCCUGGUGUAGCGGUGGAAUGCGCAGAUAUCAGGAGGAACACCGAUGGCGAAGGCAGAUCUCUGGGCCGUAACUGACGCUGAGGAGCGAAAGGGUGGGGAGCAAACAGGCUUAGAUACCCUGGUAGUCCACCCCGUAAACGUUGGGAACUAGUUGUGGGGUCCAUUCCACGGAUUCCGUGACGCAGCUAACGCAUUAAGUUCCCCGCCUGGGGAGUACGGCCGCAAGGCUAAAACUCAAAGGAAUUGACGGGGACCCGCACAAGCGGCGGAGCAUGCGGAUUAAUUCGAUGCAACGCGAAGAACCUUACCAAGGCUUGACAUAUACGAGAACGGGCCAGAAAUGGUCAACUCUUUGGACACUCGUAAACAGGUGGUGCAUGGUUGUCGUCAGCUCGUGUCGUGAGAUGUUGGGUUAAGUCCCGCAACGAGCGCAACCCUCGUUCUAUGUUGCCAGCACGUAAUGGUGGGAACUCAUGGGAUACUGCCGGGGUCAACUCGGAAGAAAGUGGGGAUGACGUCAAAUCAUCAUGCCCCUUAUGUCUUGGGCUUCACGCAUGCUACAAUGGCCGGUACAAAGGGCUGCAAUACCGCGA